rnacentral:rRNA from 1 species
AUGAACGCUGGCGGCGUGCCUAAUACAUGCAAGUCGAGCGAACAGACGAGGAGCUUGCUCCUCUGACGUUAGCGGCGGACGGGUGAGUAACACGUGGAUAACCUACCUAUAAGACUGGGAUAACUUCGGGAAACCGGAGCUAAUACCGGAUAAUAUAUUGAACCGCAUGGUUCAAUAGUGAAAGACGGUUUUGCUGUCACUUAUAGAUGGAUCCGCGCCGCAUUAGCUAGUUGGUAAGGUAACAGCUUACCAAGGCGACGAUGCGUAGCCGACCUGAGAGGGUGAUCGGCCACACUGGAACUGAGACACGGUCCAGACUCCUACGGGAGGCAGCAGUAGGGAAUCUUCCGCAAUGGGCGAAAGCCUGACGGAGCAACGCCGCGUGAGUGAUGAAGGUCUUCGGAUCGUAAAACUCUGUUAUUAGGGAAGAACAAAUGUGUAAGUAACUAUGCACGUCUUGACGGUACCUAAUCAGAAAGCCACGGCUAACUACGUG